GAUUAAGUUAUUAAGGGCGCACGGUGGAUGCCUUGGCACUAGAAGCCAAUGAAGGACGUUACUAACGACGAUAUGCUUUGGGGAGCUGUAAGUAAGCUUUGAUCCAGAGAUUUCCGAAUGGGGAAACCCAGCAUGAGUUAUGUCAUGUUAUCGAUAUGUGAAUACAUAGCAUAUCAGAAGGCACACCCGGAGAACUGAAACAUCUUAGUACCCGGAGGAAGAGAAAGAAAAUUCGAUUCCCUUAGUAGCGGCGAGCGAAACGGGAAGAGCCCAAACCAACAAGCUUGCUUGUUGGGGUUGUAGGACACUCUAUACGGAGUUACAAAGGACGACAUUAGACGAAUCAUCUGGAAAGAUGAAUCAAAGAAGGUAAUAAUCCUGUAGUCGAAAAUGUUGUCUCUCUUGAGUGGAUCCUGAGUACGACGGAGCACGUGAAAUUCCGUCGGAAUCUGGGAGGACCAUCUCCUAAGGCUAAAUACUCUCUAGUGACCGAUAGUGAACCAGUACCGUGAGGGAAAGGUGAAAAGCACCCCGGAAGGGGAGUGAAAUAGAACCUGAAACCGUGUGCUUACAAGUAGUCAGAGCCCGUUAAUGGGUGAUGGCGUGCCUUUUGUAGAAUGAACCGGCGAGUUACGAUUUGAUGCAAGGUUAAGCAGUAAAUGUGGAGCCGUAGCGAAAGCGAGUCUGAAUAGGGCGUUUAGUAUUUGGUCGUAGACCCGAAACCAGGUGAUCUACCCUUGGUCAGGUUGAAGUUCAGGUAACACUGAAUGGAGGACCGAACCGACUUACGUUGAAAAGUGAGCGGAUGAACUGAGGGUAGCGGAGAAAUUCCAAUCGAACCUGGAGAUAGCUGGUUCUCUCCGAAAUAGCUUUAGGGCUAGCCUCAAGUGAUGAUUAUUGGAGGUAGAGCACUGUUUGGACGAGGGGCCCCUCUCGGGUUACCGAAUUCAGACAAACUCCGAAUGCCAAUUAAUUUAACUUGGGAGUCAGAACAUGGGUGAUAAGGUCCGUGUUCGAAAGGGAAACAGCCCAGACCACCAGCUAAGGUCCCAAAAUAUAUGUUAAGUGGAAAAGGAUGUGGCGUUGCCCAGACAACUAGGAUGUUGGCUUAGAAGCAGCCAUCAUUUAAAGAGUGCGUAAUAGCUCACUAGUCGAGUGACACUGCGCCGAAAAUGUACCGGGGCUAAACAUAUUACCGAAGCUGUGGAUUGUCCUUUGGACAAUGGUAGGAGAGCGUUCUAAGGGCGUUGAAGCAUGAUCGUAAGGACAUGUGGAGCGCUUAGAAGUGAGAAUGCCGGUGUGAGUAGCGAAAGACGGGUGAGAAUCCCGUCCACCGAUUGACUAAGGUUUCCAGAGGAAGGCUCGUCCGCUCUGGGUUAGUCGGGUCCUAAGCUGAGGCCGACAGGCGUAGGCGAUGGAUAACAGGUUGAUAUUCCUGUACCACCUAUA
rnacentral:rRNA from 1 species